UGUAAACCCGUGGUGCAUAAUGGAUGGCAGUAGUUCCCGAAAUCCUGUCUGUAAAAAACAUUGUCAGGGAAGUUUUAUGUCAAUUUUAAACCCAGAUCCUUGUCCCCCACCCCGUGUCUUCUGACCUGGGAAACCCGGCCUGGCGUCCUGGGGGACCUGGGCUGGCGUCCUGGAACCGACCCGGCUCACACGCCCUGCAGGGAACCUACCUACAGGGGUUCACUUUCAGGCUCAGCCCACGUCUGAGGUGACUGUCUGGAGGGUAUCAGCUUUGGGCUCAGAAAACCUAAGACUCCAACACCCUGCUGUGUGACUUUCGACACAUGAGUCCAAGUCUCUGGGCCUCUGUGUUCACCUCUGAAAAUUAGGGGACAAAUCGUUUCCGCCCCAGGGAUGGGAGCAGUGGUUCUUAAGCUAGGCUGCCUCUCACAAUCAUCUGGGAGGUUCUGCCUGGGUCAGACCCCACCCCAGCGGAGUCAGAAUGUAUGGCAGCAAAGCCAGGCUUCAGUGUUCGUGAAGCUUCCCGGACGACCUCCUGCUCAAGAGCCCGAGGUUGGAGACCAAGUGCCUUCUCGUGCUGGUAUCAAUGCUGUGCUCCUAGCAGUAGGGCCUGGGGGUUUUGUGGACGGCCGGGAGCGGCUGGGGUUGCUUCAGAACCUGCACCUGCAGGUGCGGGGUCAUCUACUGGAAGCAGGCAAGCGUCCUAGUGGAACAGAAGAGUCGAGAGAGAGACAAACAAGGGGUUUGCUUGGGUCUAGCACAAGACAGGGGAAGCUGAAAAGACUGGACGUGCCGUCACUUAGCAAAAACUUUGGUUGCAACUUGUGGUCAUUUUUUCUGCGUGUGUCUUGGAUUGAGGAGUUGAUGCUGGGGCCUCUCGAAUUCUCCUCCUGACUUUUGAACUCUCACCUGUCCUCUUCCCGGGCGAGUUACUGAUGCUGAUGUUCUCAGUCUUUCCAUCUAUGAAAGGGGAAUUUCUUUGGUAUACAUCUGACCUGAGACCCUGUGUGAUAGGAGCCAUCAUAUAACGCACACCGAGUGUAAAAUCUGGAGAAAGGUGUGUGAGCUUCUGGGGGGGUUCUCCCACUAGGACGGUCGAAUUUAAAAAAGAAAAAGAAAAAGACCAAAGGUAUUUUCUCCAUACCGCUCACAUAAAGACCGUGCUUUCCGCGUAUUUCUACAAAGACUGCUCUGUGUAAAUUUUAUGAUUGUUACGCACUAUAAUAAUUAAGUAACAAAAAGCUAUGGGGAAGAUUACUUUCCCUGAGAAUCAGAACAGUGAUAAUGAAACGGGGCCAGUAAUCUGGCUUUAAUGAAAUGGGGAAUCCAACCCACUACAUCAGAGAAAGCAAUAAAAUGUGUUCCCAUAUCAAUAAAACUCAAUUCUCUAUGUUCUUAUUAUGUAAAUCAAUACACCCUGCUCCCCGAAGAAGACAGCGCCUUGCCCUGCUGUGGGUUUUUGUUUUGUUGUGUUGUGUUUUUUCGGGGAUACCUUACAGCUUACUUCGUACGCAAUUAGUGAAUAAACAGGUCUGUUUCUGAAAAGUCCGUUCAUCACAUCACUAGAUUGCCUGGAUGGCAUUCUCAACGGCGAAACAAUUUGCACAGCAGAUAUACGCUUACGGGAAAUUAGGCAAAUGGUGGAGCUUUAAUGCAUACGGGCAAGAAAUUAAUGUAAAAUUUGUGGGUGCUCAAGCCACUCUUUCUAGUAAUCCUUCCAAAUCUGUAUUUCAUCUAGAAAGCUUUUAUUUUAAAACCAAUUUAAAAAGUCAAUAAUCAUUAAAUAUGCAGAGACAUC